ensembl:snoRNA SNORD97 small nucleolar RNA, C/D box 97
UUGCCCAAUGAUUAUAGCAAGACGCGUUAUUAUGAGGACUAAUGCUGGAACUCUUUCUCCUCCUCCUCAUUCUCCUCCUUCUUUGUCCCUUCCUCUUUCACCUUUUACCCCUCCUCACUUUCCUUAGGGUAUCCAGCGUCCUAUGAGCAAGACUGAGAUAUGAGGGCAA